rnacentral:rRNA from 1 species
CUCUGUGUUGUAGCUAACGCGUUAAGCACUCCGCCUGGGGACUACGGUCGCAAGACUAAAACUCAAAGGAAUUGACGGGGACCCGCACAAGCGGUGGAGCAUGUGGUUUAAUUCGAUGCAACGCGAAAAACCUUACCACUCCUUGACAUGGAGAUUAGAUCCUUCUUAACGGAAGGGCGCAGUUCGGCUGGAUCUCGCACAGGUGCUGCAUGGCUGUCGUCAGCUCGUGUCGUGAGAUGUUGGGUUAAGUCCCGCAACGAGCGUAACCCUCAUCCUUAGUUGCCAGCGGGUUAAGCCGGGCACUUUAAGGAAACUGCCAGUGGUAAACUGGAGGAAGGUGGGGAUGAUGUCAAGUCAGCACGGCCCUUAUGGGGUGGGCUACACACGUGCUACAAUGGUGACUACAAUAGGUUGCAAUGUCGCAAGGCUGAGCUAAUCCGUAAAAGUCAUCUCAGUUCGGAUUGUCCUCUGCAACUCGAGGGCAUGAAGUCGGAAUCGCUAGUAAUCGUGGAUCAGCAUGCCACGGUGAAUACGUUCUCGGGUCUUGUACACACUGCCCGUCACGCCAUGGGAAUUGGCUUAACUCGAAGCUGGUGCGC